UACGUAGGGUGCGAGCGUUAAUCGGAAUUACUGGGCGUAAAGCGUGCGCAGGCGGUUUUGUAAGCCAGAUGUGAAAGCCCCGGGCUUAACCUGGGAAUGGCAUUUGGGACUGCAAGGCUAGAGUGCGGCAGAGGAGACUGGAAUUCCUGGUGUAGCAGUAGAAAUGCGUAGAUAUCAGGAGGAAUACCGAUGGCGAAGGCAGGUCUCUGGGCUGAGCACUGACGUCGAUGCACGAAA
rnacentral:rRNA from 1 species